CAGAGUUCAUGCCCGAAAGGGUAGACCUCCCACCCUUGUGUAUUAUUACUUUGUUGCUUUGGCGAGCUGCCUUCGGGCCUUGUAUGCUCGCCAGAGAAUACCAAAACUCUUUUUAUUAAUGUCGUCUGAGUACUAUAUAAUAGUUAA
rnacentral:rRNA from 1 species